rnacentral:rRNA from 1 species
UACGUAGGUGGCAAGCGUUGUCCGGAUUUACUGGGCGUAAAGAGCGCGCAGGCGGUCGUUCAAGUCGCGUGUGAAAGCCCCCCGGCUCAACUGGGGAGGGUCACGCGAUACUGAUCGACUCGAAGGCAGGAGAGGGUAGUGGAAUUCCCGGUGUAGUGGUGAAAUGCGUAGAUAUCGGGAGAACACCAGUGGCGAAGGGCGACUACCCUGGCCUGUUUCUUGACGCUGAGGCGCGAAAGCUAGGGGAGCAAACGGGG